CACCCGUCUGCCUGUAAGACUGUUGACUUUCAUUAAGCUCCCUGGGGCAUCAGCCGGUCUGAGUCUGCGUUCGGAUCCUCCUGUUCGUUUUUGGCAAAAAUCCCUUUUCUGGUGACUUUCGCUCUCAUUUGCGAACUGUUUUGACCUUUCGACCGAAGAGAUAACUGAUGGACUACCUGUGAUGGGGAAACUGCUGCAGAGGUUGGAAUCAAAACCAGAACGUUGAAGAACCAGAGCGUGAAGCUCCCGUCGCCUCAGCUUUGGGGGUAGUUGGCCUCCAUGUGUGAAGGAACUUCUCCACCUCCAUGUGAACCGACGGUGAAAGAUUGUAAACAAACCGCUGCCCGUCCAU